rnacentral:rRNA from 1 species
CGUGUAGGUGGCUAAUUAAGUCAGGUGUGAAAUCCUUCCGCUUAACGGGAGAAGUGCACUUGAAACUGCUUAGCUAGAGUACGGGAGAGGAAGGUGGAAUUCCUGGUGUAGAGGUGAAAUUCAUAGAUAUCGGGAAGAACACCGGUGGCGAAGGCGGCCUUCUGGCCCGAUACUGACGCUGAGACGCGAAAGCGUGGGGAGCAAACAGGAUUAGAUACCCUGGUAGUCCACGCCGUAAACGUUGGGCACUAGGUGUGGGAGGUUUUUAUUCCUUCUUUGCCGAAGCUAACGCAUUAAGUGCCCCGCCUGGGGAGUACGGUCGCAAGGCUAA